rnacentral:rRNA from 1 species
UGGCGGCCUUAGCGCGGUGGUCCCACCUGACCCCAUGCCGAACUCAGAAGUGAAACGCCGUAGCGCCGAUGGUAGUGUGGGGUCUCCCCAUGCGAGAGUAG